ACUCCUACGGGAGGCAGCAGUGGGGAAUAUUGCACAAUGGGCGCAAGCCUGAUGCAGCCAUGCCGCGUGUAUGAAGAAGGCCUUCGGGUUGUAAAGUACUUUCAGCAGUGAGGAAGGUGGAUAUGUUAAUAGCAUACUCAUUUGACGUUAGCUGCAGAAGAAGCACCGGCUAACUCCGUGCCAGCAGCCGCGGUAAUACGGAGGAUGCAAGCGUUAUCCGGAUUCAUUGGGUUUAAAGGGUGCGUAGGCGGGAAGUGUAAGUCAGGGGUGAAAGUUUGCAGCUCAACUGUAAAAUUGCCUUUGAUACUGCAUUUCUUGAGUACAUUUGAGGUAGGCGGAAUGUGUUGUGUAGCGGUGAAAUGCUUAGAUAUAACACAGAACACCGAUUGCGAAGGCAGCUUACUAAACUGUAACUGACGCUGAUGCACGAAAGCGUGGGGAUCGAACAGGAUUAGAUACCCUGGUAGGCUCUG
rnacentral:rRNA from 1 species